GCCGAAAUAGCUCAGUUGGUAGAGCACUUGAUUUGUAAUCAGGUGGUCGUGGGUUCGAGUCCCUCUUUCGGCU
rnacentral:tRNA from 1 species